UUGGCGUAUGAAUGUAGGAAAAGAGAGACAACUCCUCUUCACCGUGCGGCAAAGCUUUUGAUUAAUUCUCAACUGGAGAAUGGUGAUUACCCUCAACAGGAGAUAGGUGGAGUACUUAUGAACACAUGCAUGCUACACUAUGGACUAUAUAGGAACGUAUUCCCUUUGUGGGCUCUCGCAGAGUAUUGUAAUAAAGUUUCAUUGCCAUAGUCUCAACCAAAUUUAUGUAACAUGCUUUCGACUUUUGUU